CAUCUUCGGCAUCGUCGUCUCUCUCACAGAACUUAGUAUAGUUCUGUGUCGUCUGCCGUCUCCUCCUCUUCUUCCUCCUUGUUGGUCACCAUACUCUUGGGUACUCUUGUUGGUUAUUGAUUUUUCGAUUAAGUCACACCAUAUGCAUAGCUUUUGUUUCUGUAUCGGAAUGGAACGAUCAACGAUGUCUCUGCCGACUAUUAGGAAUAUUCAAAGAUAUGUUGAGUUGUUUUCAUCAUUAUGGCGUGAGUGAAAACACCUUCCAAGAAUGUGUACCAGAUGAUGACACUAAGGGAAUGGACUUUUUUUCUUUGAAGAAUUCAAGCAGAACCAACUUAUUUUACUUGGACACUAUAUAUAUUUUGUAUCUUUCGUUUUAAAUUUUUAUGGAAAGAACAUUGGUUGUCGUUGUUAUGUUAUAAGAACUUGAUGAUGAAUUAUGAUAUUACAAAUUUUAUGUAAUGUCCAUUUGGUAGUUCAAUGGUUAUUAUUGGU